UUUGUUACAGUAUGCCUUUUUAUUUUGGAGAUUACAAAAUCACCAGUAAGAAGGAAUCUACUCAACAUUAAACAUGCCAACAAAUAUUAACUUUUAAAGAAUUUACAAAAUUUUGAGUACAGUUCCAUCUUUCUUCAAAGUAAAAUGUUAAAUUGAAAUGUGGCUUUUCAUCUGAUCAUUGUGGUACGGCAGAACAGGCUGGGACUGGAACCGGAUCCUAAUCAGCUUAAAGCUAGAGACUAUAAUUGACU
rnacentral:lncRNA from 10 species